CUCAAUUUAAGGAUCGUUGGAUUUACUAUUUGGGCAACAGUCACUCACCUGUUCUGAAAGAACCAACUGGUGCAUCUGGUGAGCUGAUGUCUGGAAGUACCGGCGUGUGGCCCAGAUUCACCUCUGCUUGGCAGAGAAGAAGAAAAGAGAGCGAAGGAAGAAGGAAUGGCACAAUGGCAAAUAAGAAGAGCCGUGUAGGAUCCGUGACAGAAGAACCAGAGAGACAGAGAAGAGAGAAAGCAGAAGAGGAAAGAAGAAGAAGAAGAAACAAAGAAGCCAAAGUGGACUAUGCAUCUGCAUAUGUCCAGGAGUGGCGGAACAAGCUGAUAAGGAAACGUGUGGAAUGCAACUUGAAAGAAAUGGACAGAGAUCAAAGGAUGGCAGCACUAAAGGAACAAGACGAAAUAGAAUGCCGCAUACAGAUGCAGGCCGUUAGUCAUCAGAUCGCCAUGGAGCAAGAAAGCAAAAGAAGACGUGAGGAAGCGCGGAAAGAGGAGAUGAAGAAAACCGUGUUGGAGAACUUCAAUGUCACCGAGUACCUGCCAGAACUGGAGGAAAUCCGACUGAAGAAGCUAGAGAAGAAGGAAAAGGAAAUACUUACCAAGCAAGAAGAAGCAAGACAGCAACGAUGGCAGAAAGAAAAGGAGCAGCGAGACAAGUAUGAGAAGAAAGAGAAGAAAGACGAGAGGAAGGAAGAUAAGAGAAAAGAGAAGUGGCAGAAGAAGGAAGAGGAAAUAAGGAAGAAAGAAGAGAAAGAAAGGCAGCAAAGGAUUAAAAGACGGACAGAACGACAACAGAAGAAGGACGAGAAAAGAGAGAAGGCUGUUUCAAAGAUGGUCACAAAGGAGCUCAAAAAGGAGGACGAACGACUGAAGGAGGAAGAGGAGAGAAGAAGAAAACAAGAGAGAGAGGAGCAGAAAAGGGAGAAGAAGAAGAAACAGCAGGAGCUAAAGACAUUUGAGAGAGAGAAGAAAAAAUGGAUGGAACAAUGCGAAAAGGAUGAGAAGGAGAAGAAAAAACAGCGGAAGAAGGAAGAAAAGGAAAGAAGACUGAGCAACAGGAAGGCAGAGAAGAAGAAGGAAAAAUAUGAGGUCACAGCUCAGGACGUCUGGGCGGAGAGGAGGCUGAAGACGGUGGAGACCGGGGCAGCUGAUCUCAGCCCCUUCAUCUGUGAAUUUUCUGCAGACGCCAACCCGAGUCCAGCGGAGGAAACGGUGACUUGGUGGAAACCAAAGCUCUGGUUUCGCACCAACGUCGUCCGCAUCCACCCAGUUUAAAAGGUGGAUGGACCGUCCUGGAGGAGCCCACCCCCUCAAGAGGACACCGUCUUCAUCUCCUCCUCAUCAGAGGAGGAGACACGUACCAAUUUAUUUGUUUUACUAUUUGUUCUGUUAGGUAAAGUUUAAGUUAGAUUGAGAUAAGAUGUUCUGUUCUAUGUCUGUUCUGACACUUUAUUUGUUCUUAUUAUAAGUGAUCGUUUUGUAUUAUUGUGUUUUAGCUGCAGAAGGUGACCCCCAGCAACGACACAACCGAACUGGACCAAGAUCCUGCGUUCCAAGCAGCUCGGGCCCAAGAUGGAGAUCUUAAACCGACGCAGGAACAACAGCUGCACAUUUACACUGAGUGCAGCUGUGGAGGCUGGAGAACUUCAUCCACGGAUAGGACCACCUGGAGAGAAGUUGUCCCCUGCGUUCAUGGAGGCUCAGUGCAGUAAGUAAUCACCUGAGCAGUCAUUUACCUGAGUAGUAAAGUGG